CAAUAGCGUAUAUUAAAGUUGUUGCGGUUAAAAAGCUCGUAGUUGGAUUUCUGCCGAGGACGACCGGUCCGCCCUCCGGGUGAGUAUCUGGCUCGGCCUGGGCAUCUUCUUGGAGAACGUAGCUGCACUUGGCUGUGUGGUGCGGUAUUCAGGACUUUUACUUUGAGGAAAUUAGAGUGUUUCAAGCAGGCACACGCCUUGAAUACAUUAGCAUGGAAUAAUAAGAUAGGACCUCGGUUCUAUUUUGUUGGUUUCUAGAUCUGAGGUAAUGAUUAAUAGGGAUAGUUGGGGGCAUUCGUAUUUAACUGUCAGAGGUGAAAUUCUUGGAUUUGUUAAAGGCGGACUACUGCGAAAGCAUUUGCCAAGGAUGUUUUCAUUGA
rnacentral:rRNA from 1 species